UACGAAGGGGGCUAGCGUUGCUCGGAAUCACUGGGCGUAAAGCGCACGUAGGCGGCUUUCUAAGUCAGGGGUGAAAUCCUGGAGCUCAACUCCAGAACUGCCUUUGAUACUGGAGAGCUAGAGUCCGGAAGAGGUGAGUGGAACUGCGAGUGUAGAGGUGAAAUGCGUAGAGAUCCGGAAGAACACCGGUGGCGAAGGCGGUCUGCUGGGCAGUUGCUGACACUGAGGCGCGACAGCGUGGGGAGCAAACAGG
rnacentral:rRNA from 1 species